CACAGGGGGUUUCGUGGCUUUCUGAUUUUUUUUUUUUAUCUUAGUCAUGUGCUACAAUUCACCUUUGGUCCUCAGGAAGUGGAAAGGAAAGGCUACUGCUGCUAACAAAGUAGCAGCAAUGCUACUUUGGACCACAACCACAAGAAUUCUGAAAGAGCCUCUCUACCUUCCAGCUUUACAAAGCUGUACCUGUUCCGAGGAAAAAGCCACAGAGUAGUCCCAGAGCAUCAGCUGCUGCUCCUCUGCAGAGACACAACCCCCAGCACUCACCUGAAGGACUGACGGAUUUCCUAUGGUCAUGAGAGGUUGAAAGGAGCACGUUUCACUUCUUUUAUCCAUUCCUAAUUUAAAGCUUAAACUGAAGGCAAACAGGACUAACUUUUUUUUUUUAGAAGCAUAAUUUCUUUUUAAACUCCAGAAAAAGUAGAAUGGAACAAGGAAGGAAAGCACAGUCCCAAACAUAUUUAAGGUGCUGUUCUAAAGGAUUCAGGACAUUUUCUCCUCUUGCAAGUAAGGUUAAAUGCAGUUUUCCAAAUUGGGCUGUGGCUGACUGAGGAAGCUGGUUACCACCUAUGAGUUCUAAUAAUAUUUUUAAUCUAUUUGAAAUCAAACAUCUCAGAGGAAGAUUUUUUUUUGUGAAAUACAGAUAAUAAUUUGCUUACCUUCCUUGCAAGUACAACUGAUGAAACAAAAAAACCCAGCCUCCAUAUACUAUCAUGCAACUUAAGUCUACCAGGCAGAAUGCAGAACUUGCCAAAAAGUCCAUUCUGAUUGUGUGCAAGGCACACAAUGAGACAGAACAAUGCUACAAGAGGGUUUAUCUAUAGAAAUGAGAAUGAAACUUGUUCUGACUUUUGAGGUAUCAUCUUCAUUCAUAACUAAACCAAACCCAGGCACUGAAGACGAUUUUUUAAAUUAAUAUCAUCAACUUAAAGAUGUGAAAAUGCAAAGGAGAAU